rnacentral:lncRNA from 1 species
ACGGACUCUGAUUCACCAUUUAGAGAGGACUCACUGGUUUUCUCUUCCUGGGCCGUGCGUGCAAAGAAGCACCUGCCUUGCCUCCUUCCCUCCUUUGCCUGUCCAAAGGUGAAUGAUAUGAGUCGGGCAGUGUGCAUGUCUUCCCAGAAGAAAAAAUGAGGCUCAGAUGUGACUCGGUGUCCCCGUUCCAGGAAGGUGCAGAGUGCUGACAGCCACGCCCUGGAGCUUGCGCUUGCCAGUGCUUACUCUCAGAACUGACUCCUGAGGGAAGGCAAGUGUUUGAAUUGACUUUCUCCAAGGUUCUCACUCUUAGGAAGAUGCAGGUGGAGUUAUCUGUGAUUCUCCCUGUAGGUCAGUGUCUCUGGGAUGCCUUCCCCUUCCUUGACCUCCAUGGGGCCUUCCUCAGCUGAUCACUCACUGUUCCUGCCUCCCAGCCGAUGGCUCUGAUUCUCAAUGGCUUCUGCAUAGUGAAUGCUGUCAGGCAAUCUUCCUGGAUAUCUCCUUCACGACGUUGCUCCUUCUGCCUGAGAAUCUGUAACGAGCACGGAAGGUCUCUGGAUGUUGUGGGGACAUGCUGGGUUGUUCUGAUGGGCCUUUUGGGGGCUCCUGUCCGGUGCCCCGGGAAUGUCUGUGUGGGAGGACUUGGUGUGGCAAUCUGGUUGGAAGGGAGGGGUUACUGUUGUAGAAAGCACACCAUCUUUACCUCCUGCGUCGUCAUAAAGCCAUGAAAAGAGUAAAA